rnacentral:rRNA from 1 species
UACGAAGGGGGCUAGCGUUGUUCGGAAUCACUGGGCGUAAAGGGCGACGUAGGCGGCUUUAAUAAGUCGGGGGUGAAAGCCUGUGGCUCAACCACAGAAUUGCCUUCGAUACUGUAUGGCUUGAGACCGGAAGAGGUAAGUGGAACUGCGAGUGUAGAGGUGAAAUUCGUAGAUAUUCGCAAGAACACCAGUGGCGAAAGGCG